UGACUUCUUCCUCAUUGGGAAAAGAGGAAAAGAAACAGUAGCCAUGGGAGAAGAGAGAACCGUGAGUUCUCAUGGCACUUCUAAGUUCGAUUUUUCGUCGAAAUAUCGAUCCAAUCGUGUAAACGUUAAGAAAUCAAGUGUAGAAGCCUAUAACGCUGGUGGUCGUGCAGAAAGGAAUGGACCUAGAAGAUAGCGAAGGGUAGGAAGGUGAAAUAGGCUUAUGUUCAUAAGCCUGCGAGGUUAGAGUUGAUAUUAUGUCAGUGGUGUUGCGCAGCUUUGCACCUUUUGCGAGUUACUGGUGGUCAACUUGGUUUAGUAGUCGUGACAUGUUGUAUAAUAGUUUAAUCUUUAAUCUUUCGUUGGAUAAAUGUUAAGUUUUUAAAUGUAAUAGAUUUUAAUUGUGCUUUUAAGCUAAAAAGAAAAAGGAAAAUUUCAGCACGGGUUUUCGAUACUGAAACGUGACAUCACUUAUUCGGUGGGUUUACCUACCGGGUGAGGGGUGUUACAAAGAUUGUCAGCCAGAAAGUAUAAAUAUUGUGAUGACGUUAAUCGUUGAUUGAUUUUGCAUUCCAA